UGCACAAGCCGGUGAGCAUGUGGUUUAAUUCGAUGCAACGCGAAGAACCUUACCUACUCUUGACAUCCAGAGAACUUUCCAGAGAUGGAUUGGUGCCUUCGGGAACUCUGAGACAGGUGCUGCAUGGCUGUCGUCAGCUCGUGUUGUGAAAUGUUGGGUUAAGUCCCGCAACGAGCGCAACCCUUAUCCUUGUUUGCCAGCGAGUAAUGUCGGGAACUCCAGGGAGACUGCCGGUGAUAAACCGGAGGAAGGUGGGGACGACGUCAAGUCAUCAUGGCCCUUACGAGUAGGGCUACACACGUGCUACAAUGGCGCAUACAGAGGGCAGCCAACUUGCGAGAGUGAGCGAAUCCCAAAAAGUGCGUCGUAGUCCGGAUUGGAGUCUGCAACUCGACUCCAUGAAGAUCGGAAUCGCUAGUAAUCGGGAUCAGAAUGACGUAAUA
rnacentral:rRNA from 1 species